rnacentral:rRNA from 1 species
AAUAGAUACCCAGGUAGUCCAUGCCGUAAACGUUGGGAACUAGAUGUAGGGACCAUUCCACGGUUUCUGUGUCGCAGCUAACGCAUUAAGUUCCCCGCCUGGGGAGUACGGCCGCAAGGCUAAAACUCAAAGGAAUUGACGGGGGCCCGCACAAGCGGCGGAGCAUGCGGAUUAAUUCGAGGCAACGCGAAGAACCUUACCAAGGCUUGACAUAUACGAGAACGCCCUAGAAAUAGGGAACUCUUUGGACACUCGUAUACAGGUGGUGCAUGGUUGUCGUCAGCUCGUGUCGUGAGAUGUUGGGUUAAGUCCCGCAACGAGCGCAACCCUCGUUCUAUGUUGCCAGCACGUCAUGGUGGGAACUCAUAGGAGACUGCCGGGGUCAACUCGGAGGAAGGUGGGGAUGACGUCAAAUCAUCAUGCCCCUUAUGUCUUGGGCUUCACGCAUGCUACAAUGGCCGGUACAAAGGGCUGCAAUACCGCAAGGUGGAGCGAAUCCCAAAAAAGCCGGUCUCAGUUCGGAUUGAGGUCUGC